UAUGCUUGUCUCAAAGAUUAAGCCAUCCAUGUCUAAGUAUAAGCACUUGUACUGUGAAACUGCGAAUGGCUCAUUAAAUCAGUUAUCGUUUACUUGAUCGUAUCCUAUACAUGGAUAACCGUGGUAAUUCUAGAGCUAAUACAUGCAAAAAGUCCCAACCUCUGGAAGGGAUGUAUUUAUUAGACUAAAAGCCAAUACUGGUGUUAACUAGUUCCUUUGGUGAUCCAUGAUAACUGCUCGAAUCGCACGGGCUUAGUACCGGCGAUGUUUCAUUCAAAUAUCUGCCCUAUCAACUGUCGAUGGUAAGGUAGUGGCUUACCAUGGUUGUAACGGGUGACGGAGAAUUAGGGUUCGAUUCCGGAGAGGGAGCCUGAGAAAUGGCUGCCACAUCCAAGGAAGGCAGCAGGCGCGCAAAUUACCCAAUCCUCAAAGAGGGAGGUAGUGACAA
rnacentral:rRNA from 1 species